rnacentral:tRNA from 1 species
GCCCCGUAGUGACUUACACGUUAAAUUGCAAAUUUAAAAAAGUUCCUUUUUGG